ACGGGUGAGUAACACGUGGGCAACCUACCUUAUCGACUGGGAUAACUCCGGGAAACCGGGGCUAAUACCGGAUAAUAUCUAGCACCUCCUGGUGCCGGAUUAAAAGAGGGCUUCUUGCUCUCGCGAUGAGAUGGGCCCGCGGCGCAUUAGCUAGUUGGAGAGGUAACGGCUCCCCAAGGCGACGAUGCGUAGCCGACCUGAGAGGGUGAUCGGCCACACUGGGACUGAGACACGGCCCAGACUCCUACGGGAGGCAGCAGUAGGGAAUCUUCCGCAAUGGACGAAAGUCUGACGGAGCAACGCCGCGUGAGUGAUGAAGGGUUUCGGCUCGUAAAGCUCUGUUAUGAGGGAAGAACACGUACCGUUCGAAUAGGGCGGUACCUUGACGGUACCUCAUCAGAAAGCCACGGCUAACUACGUGCCAGCAGCCGCGGUAAUACGUAGGUGGCAAGCGUUGUCCGGAAUUAUUGGGCGUAAAGCGCGCGCAGGCGGCCUUUUAAGUCUGAUGUGAAAUCUUGCGGCUCAACCGCAAGCGGCCAUUGGAAACUGGGAGGCUUGAGUACAGAAGAGGAGAGUGGA
rnacentral:rRNA from 1 species